rnacentral:tRNA from 1 species
UGAGUUAUUCUCCCCAUCCCAGAAGUACCAGCUCUUGGUGUAUCACGCGGAUUCUCUCUUUCAUGAUAAAGAAUAUCGGAAUGCUGUGAGUAAGUAUACCAUGGCUUUGCAGCAGAAGAAAGCCCUAAGUAAAACUUCAAAAGUGAGACCUUCAACUGGCAAUUCCGCAUCUACUCCGCAAAGUCAGGUAAAUGGAGAUGGAAGUGUGAAUUUUUUUUUUUUUUUUUUUUUUUUUUGAGGGUGAGAGACUGAAAGAAUUUACAAGACUGUGGACUAGAUGUAGAGGAGGGGAAAAUAAAAAAUAGUUUUAAAGGAGAGCUGACUAGAGAAACAAAGAUGAGAAACCACAUAGAUGCAAGAAUGCGAAAUUCACUCUGGAUGAAUCUAAAAAUGGAAUUAAACAUGAAUUAUAUGGGUUCACCGAGGUUCUGCAUUGUUCCUCCCUUUUGUACAAACAGAACUCAAAAUCCAGUGUUUUUAUAAGUUUAAUUAAAGUACAACUUUUAAAAUGUAACUCAGGUAUUAGGGUUGCCAGAACCUAGGGAAAUUUAUAGGAAAUACUAAGAAUUCCUGCCAGUUUUGGUUGCCUGAUAAUUAAAUAAAUGAAGGGGAGAAUUGUAAUUUCACACAGUCUUCUGAUUUGAUGGAGAUAUCCAAUUACCAGAAAUUAACUCUAAUAGUAGACUCCAGAAGAUUUACAGGGUGUAUAACUAAGGCUGCUUAUUGCAGCAUUAUUUUUAAUGGUAAGAAACUGAAAGCAAGUGUUCAUCAGUGGUGUCUAGUUAAAUUAGCGCAUAGCCAUAAGAUGGGAUAUGAUGAACUAUUACUGAAAUGAAAAAUGAGAUAGAGGUACAUGUGCUGAUUUGAAAAGAACUACACAUAAUAGUAAGGAAAAUAAGAUUUGUAGAAGUCUGUUCUGUUUGUUUAAAGGGGAUGGAUUAUAGAUACAUAAAUAUAUCUUCGUAUAUGCCAUAUAUAUAUAUAUAAAUGCUGAAAAUCGAUAUUAAUAGAAAGUAUGGAUAUGUAUCAGAUAUAUAUCUGAUAUAUAUUAUAUAUAAACGUAUGUUGUAUAUGCAUUAUGUAUGAAGGAUUUUAUGUGUAGAAGGAAAGAAAUUUAACAGUGGAAAGCUUUAGGGAGAGGGGAAUUUUUACUUUGCAAUUUGACCUUCUUUUAAGUUUAAAUUAUACAUGCAACUUACACUGAAAAGUAAUGUCAGUAGGAUGAACUGGGUGUGAAAUUAUAAGUCAUGUUUUCUCUGCUUUGUAUUUUUCCACAUUUUGAAAAAAGACAAAUUAAUGUAGUUUCCCUUUUUUUUUUUAAAGCCUCUAUAUCUUCAUCUUGUUUUUUUUUUUCUUUAUGUAAAACCUUUGAUUUUUGUUAUUAAAGAGCUGAUUGCCAGGAUUUUCUCUAUUUUCUUUUUAUUUUACUUAUUUAUUUUUUAAAUAAUCUCUACACCCAGUGUGAGACUUAAACUCACAGUCCUGAGAUGAAGAGUUGCACACUCCACUGACUGAGCCAACCAGGCACCCCAGGAUUUUCUCUGUUUUCUGACACUGAAUGGAAAUCAUGUAUAUUAUCCACACAGGGUCACUCAUAGAAGUAGCUAACUUUUUGAGCAUUCAGUAUGCCAAGCACCAUGCUAAACCUUUCAUAUUAAUUAAAUGCACUUAAUCUUUAAGGAAUUUUUUUUACCUCACAUUUUAAUUUUUUUAAGUUUUUGUUUUAAUUCCAGUUAGUUAACAUACAGUGUUGUAUUAGUUUCAGAUAUACAAUAUAGUAAUUCACCACUUCCAUACAUCACCCUGUGCUCAUCACAACUAGUGUACUCCUUAAUCCCCAUCACCUAUUUAACCUAUCCCCUUAGCCCCUCCCCUCUGGUAACCAUCAGUUUGUUUUCUAUAAUUAAUCUUUAAGGAAUUUUUCAAAAAUUAAGAUCUAUUUCACCUCCCAGAAUUAACAAUUCACUGGGUUGUAGUAUAUUCACAAAAUUGUGCAACUGUCAUCACUUUAAUUCCAGAACAUUUUCAUCACCCUAGGAAAUUUGCAAGCCUUUUAUCUCUUUUAUCUCUUUAGCCUCUGGGAAUCACUAACCUUUUUCUGUCUCUAUGGAUUUACCUAUUCUGGACAUUGCAUAUGAAUAGAAUCAUACAGUAUGUGACCUUUUGUGUCUGGUUUCUUUUACUUGAGCAUAAUGUUUUUAGAUUUGACCCAUGUUAUGGCAUGAAUCGGUUCUUUGUUCUUUUUUAUUGCUGAAUAAUAUUCCAUUGUGUGGAUAUGCCAUAACUAUUCAUUAGUUGAUGGACAUUUAUGUUAUUUCCACUUCUUGUCUAUCAGUAAUGUUUAUAUAAACAUUUAUGUGCAGGUUUUUGUGUGAACAUAGGUUUUCAGUUCUCUUGGCUGGAUGUGUAGGGGCAGAAUUGCUGGGUCAUAUAGUAACUCUAUGUUUAACGUUUUGAGGAACUGCCUUACUGUUGAAGUAAUAUUUUGAAGAAAUGUUUUCAUUGCCUCUUAGUGUCUUCCAUCUGAAAUUGAAGUGAAAUACAAAAUGGCUGAAUGUUAUACAAUGCUAAAACAAGAUAAGGAUGCCAUUGCUAUUCUUGAUGGGAUCCCUUCAAGACAAAGAACUCCCAAAGUAAGUUGAAUUGACAAUUUGGUAUAUAUUCUUCUCCUACCCAGUCCUUCCAACCCAUUUCCUCCAUGUUUUCUCCAUGCAUUAGGGAGUCCAUCUGAAUAUUUUACUCUUGACUCACUUUGUUCCCCUGAAAAUGGAGUAGAUGAGGUUCAGAGAGAUAGAAGAUCUGAAAAUUCGUCUGAUGAAAAUGGUAGCUGGAGAAUAUUACAAGUGCUCAUAUUUUGGUAUUUCUUACCAAUGGAAAUAAUUUGUAAACGCUUCCAGGUGGCAACAGUACUGUUUUAAGAAUCUCAUGUUUUGCAUUCUAUAGGUGUCCCCAUUUGAUUAUAUGAGUGAGUUUAUUAAUCCCUUUGGUUUCAAGAUCCAGGACUACAAGAUCUUUAUUUGUGUGUGAGAUACAUAUUUGUGUUUGAAUUGGUAACAUAUCAGUAGAACACCUUCAACUGAAAUCAAAAGAUCUUGUCUGAGUUUAGGGCAUACAAGCUGUGAAGUGUGUAGUAUGAACUUGGGCAAGUUACCGAUUUGAACUUUACUUUUUUUUUCUUAUUUAUAAAAUGAGGUUAAUAAUACUUUGCUAACUUUAAGUUCCUUUAUGAAAGAAUACUUUUUAAAGUACUAUACUGUAAGGAGUAUUAUAUUGGGCAUCUUUGAUUACCGGUUUUUUUUGAAGUCCAGUUUAGAGGAACAGUGAGAAUCUUUGCUUUUAGUAUUGAAUUCACAUCAGUGGUUAAUAUUCUACCAUGUAUUCUCAUGUCACCUGCCUUCCUCACUUCACUGAAGAACUGUUCUGUGCACCUUGUGCUUAAUGAUAAGGAAUUUUAUAUGUAAGAUGCCUGUGUACUUCCUCCUGCCCUUAGAAAAGGAAUCUAAGCGGUGGUGUAGUGUUUUUUCUCCUAAGUGUCGGCUGAGUUUUAAAAGUAACCAAUCAAACUUGAUUAGAACAUGUGUAAGCAUCUCAUUGAAGAUUUAUGUAUUAUUUUCUGAGUUUUUUAAAACUAAGCGAUUUUCCCAGUUUAUUUUACGGUACUGGCUGCUAUUAAAAAUAUUUGGAAACAUGUUUUAGAAUAACCUGUCUCAUAAUAAGCUUGGAUACUAUAUGCUGAAUUUUUUUCUGAUAUCCUAUGAAAGUCUUAACCCCAAGGAUAAUUUUUUUUGCCUAUGUGAGGAGUGUCUUUCUUUUGGAAGAUGCCAUUUUGAUUAUAAACUUUGAAUGAUACCUGUUCCUUAUCUUAUUGGAAAUGUACCAUAAUUUCCUCCUUAAUGACUUGAGGGUGGGGACAUUUUUUGAAAAUGAGUAAUGGCAAAUAAGCUCAGCUUUGUGGUAUCUAACACUUUGGUAUUUAAAGCCACCAUUUUAAGAGGGACUAAAGGAAUCCACAUUUGUUAGGAGUACAUAUCCUUCAUUCUGUAGAGCUGUUGUAGCCAGGAACAAGCAAAGAUGUAUGCCUCAAACAUAAACCUAUAAUAUUUACAGUUUUUCUUUCUUGUCCGUUAGGGAGUUAACUGGCUUCUCAGUCUGUGUAAAGGACAAGGAAGUGAGUCAAAAUACGUCUAAAUGAACGUCUGUUAAUGUAUGGUAAACACCACCACACAUUUCUUCACUUUUUAAAGGAAAAUUCCAGUGUGAGAUUAUUAUAUCUUGGUAAAUCUUCAACUUUUAAAAGUAAACAUAUCAACAUAAAUUUCUCACUCAGUUUUUAGAAAAUGAUGACUGCUUGUGUUUAUGGCGUGUGGCUUUGUGAUGUUCCCAAGUAAGGAUCUGCUUUAAAAAGGAUUGACUUUCUCAUAGGUAGUACUCAAAACUCAUUCUUUUGAAGUGACAGGUAGUUUAAAGGGAAUUUUAAUAUUUGUUGAGACAGAUGAUGUGUGGGUCAUAGUUUGUUAAUAACAAGCAGUCAAGAAAGGAUCUUAAAUUUAACCUUUUAUUCUUUUCAAGUAUUGACACCAAUACUGGAGUUUUCCUUUAAGUAUUUUCUUUUGCAUUUUCAACAUAGCCUAAAAUGGAAAAGCUGAGGCCAAAUAAAGUUUUAUUUCUGGUAUUUCAUUAUUUCAUUGUUUGAAUCAUCAGUAUGGAUUAAUGCCAUACUAGAUUGUUUUAUAUACUGUAAGUCAUAAUUGGAACAGAUGUUCUUCAUCUUCAGAGCCACUCUUUUGAGUAAAUAUCUGGCAUACCAGGCUACAAAUAACUGAAGAGAUUGGGGAUUGGCUUUUUUUCUUUUGUGUGUUCAUGUUGACUGCUUCCUUAGGUUAAUGACCUGGCAAAAAUUGCUGUGUUUAAGAUCUAUUAAUUUCAAAUUGGAAUGUUCUCUUUUUCUCCCUGUAGUAUUAAGAUCAUUUACUUUUCCCUGUAACUUCUACAUUCUUUGGAACUUUUAGGUUUUCUCAAAUUUUCCUUGUUGCAUUUUUAGGGUUAUUUUAAUAGAGCUUUACUGAGUUACAUAUUUGAAUUGUGCUAAAAAUGCAUUUAUUGGAUUUAAGUGAUGUAGCUAACCUUUGGAUCAUUGUCACUUCUAGAAGUCAGUCAGAGUUUGACUUCUGUAGCAUUACUUGGAAGAGUCAGAUAGUCAGAUAGGUCCAAGCUUUAAGCGUUAGAAAGGCAACAGUCUAGCUUCUAGAAUAAUUAUCAGAAGCCAAGUAUGUAACUCUGUAUCUGUCAUUUCCUUUUUGGGGAAAAUUCAUCUGGUCUUUCUUAACAAGCUGUGUUAAGAAUUCCUCUCUUUCUUAUGCCUCAAUAUAAUUGCAUUUAAAGUAUGUAAACUUGAGCACUUCUAGGUAGUUCAUCUUCUAAAGAUCAAGAAAGAAUCAAGGUAAUUAGAUUUCUGUAACAUUUCUCAAAUAUAUAUUACUCCUAUUUCCAGGGGCAGUAUCUUUGGUCUAGAUAUUACUGGACCUUUUGUUUGGGUAAGUGAGAGGAAUUUGACUUUCCUCUUAGAAAUGGGAGGACCUAGGAAAAGCAAAGGUAGUAAUUUCCUCUUUGGUUUAAAGAAUGGGAUUGGUCUUUGUUUAUUUCCACUGAGCUAUGGGUAGAUUUUCCAGUAAAAAGUAGAAUAGUAGCUGGUAAUAAAAAAUCAGGACUAAUUGGUGGUGAGAUACUUUCUUUGCAAUGUACGCUUAUCUUACUGUCUUGUGUUUUUGUUUGUUACAGAUAAACAUGAUGCUGGCAAAUCUAUACAAGAAGGCUGGUCAGGAGCGCCCUUCAGUCACCAGCUAUAAGGAAGUGCUGAGGCAGUGCCCAUUAGCCCUCGAUGCCAUUCUAGGUACAGAUUAUUCUCAGUUUAUUUCUAUGUAGUGUUUACUCUCUGAGAUCUUAGUUCUCAGUCUUGGCUAUACAUUAGAAUUUUCCCGUGCCUAACUUCCAGAGAGUGAUCCAGUAGAUUAUUAUUGUCAUUGUAUUUUUCACACAUCAAGAAAUUUAAAUUUAAAUUGAUUUCACACAGUCAAGAAUAUUAAAUUAUGGUUGUUUUGCCAUCUGCAUCUUGCUCAGAAUAGGGAAAGGGCACCUUGUAGUCCAUGGAAAGGGUAACUUAUUGCUUCUUGCAUUGCAGAAGAGGAGAGCUGUGCCUCACUUUAUUUCUCCUGUUUUCUGUUGGAUUAGGUUUGCUGUCCCUUUCUGUAAAAGGCGCAGAGGUGGCAUCGAUGACAAUGAAUGUGAUCCAGACUGUGCCUAACUUGGAUUGGCUCUCUGUGUGGAUCAAAGCAUAUGCUUUUGUGCACACUGGUGACAACUCGAGAGCAAUCAAUACCAUCUGGUGAGAGACACAAAGUUAAUUCAGUUUUCUUGAGGCCCUUUGCUUGUAUGGAGAUCUGAUGUAUCUAAAUUAGCAAAAUAGAAAUAGGAGAUGCUUAUCUCUUGGUGUCGUAGCCUAUUGUCUUUAGGCUUUCUUAGUCUCUUAACGUACUUAAUGGUCCUAAGAGUAAGAAUCCCUGCUGUGAGGACCUGUUAAAUGUAAACUUUGACCAAGUUCAGCUCUGUAUUUGCAAAAGUGGUAACCCUUGUAAAGCAGAUUGUCUUAGUGUGUCA